rnacentral:rRNA from 1 species
AGUCAUAUGCUUGUCUCAAAGAUUAAGCCAUGCAUGUCUCAGUACAAACCAAAUUAAGGUGAAACCGCGAAAGGCUCAUUAAAUCAGUUAUGGUUCCUUAGAUCGUACCCACACUUACUUGGAUAACUGUGGUAAUUCUAGAGCUAAUACAUGCAAAUAGAGCUCCGACCGGAGACGGAAGGAGUGCUUUUAUUAGAUCAAAACCAAUCGGUGACGGGUCAAACCGUUGUCGUAAUAUUUGGUGACUCUGAAUAACUUUAUGCUGAUCGCACGGUCUAGCACCGGCGACGCAUCUUUCAAAUGUCUGCCUUAUCAACUGUCGAUGGUAGGUUCUGCGCCUACCAUGGUUGUAACGGGUAACGGGGAAUCAGGGUUCGAUUCCGGAGAGGGAGCCUGAGAAACGGCUACCACAUCCAAGGAAGGCAGCAGGCGCGCAAAUUACCCACUCCCGGCACGGGGAGGUAGUGACGAAAAAUAACGAUACGGGACUCAUCCGAGGCCCCGUAAUCGGAAUGAGUACACUUUAAAAUUUUUAACAAGGACCAAUUGGAGGGCAGGUCUGGUGCCAGCAGCCGCGGUAAUUCCAGCUCCNNUANCGUAU